GCGAGCACCGCGAUCGAAACUUUCCUCUUCGUCUUCGAUCGACUAUGUUACGAGUAAAGACACCAAAAUUUCCGGUGACGCUGUUGCAUGUUGUUUGCGAAGGAACGCGGUCUAAGACGGAGAUGGGGACGCGUGUACGUGCGUGAAAACGGGUUUCGAAUCAUUGAGAACGGCGGCCGGUCGACGGCCGACAAAAAGUUGGAGCUCACGCACGGCUGCUGUUCGCGUCGCUCGUGAUGAGAAGACAGCCGAUGGAAAUAAACGAGAAGAGGGCCGGCCCAAGGGGAACACGGAUAGGAUAAGGGGAAUAGAGAAGAUGGAAGGAGGAGAGAGAGAGAGAAAGCAGGAGAGCGACGAUCUUACGCGACCGCGUGAAAAAUUUUGUCCACGCGAGGCUCGCGACGUGCCGCGUGAGAACACCUAUUUUCUACGUGUAGUCGCUUCUCACGGUAACGCGAAUUUUUCGUACUUUGCUCCAAUCCGAAUAGCGUAUUUUUCUUCUAUAUUUCCAUCGAAUGUCUUUCCAACCACGCUGAAGAUCCGCGAAAGAGUUCUUAACACGUUUCGCUAGAAACGUGGCUCUUUUAAGCAUUAAUAUUUGUUUCAACAGGGUAAGACUGUAAGGAGCUAUCAAUGAUCCGCGUGACUUUUGUUCGCAGCGAGAGUCUGUCGCUGAACAGCUAAAUGUAUACGUAGAAGGCAGAAAGAAAUUGAAAAAAGCAUCGCGCAAGUCUCACAGUACGUGUACGUUGCCAAGCGACUACGCGUUUAAAGCUCGGUUUUCCAGCCUGUGAGUCAUGAAUCCGACGGGGGUUGCAAAGUUUCCUGGAGAAUCGCCAUCGCGAGUUUGGUUGAACAUCUUUGGCGCUUAUUUAUUUCAAUAUGACUGAAUUGUCGCGUUAUACUAGAACUAUUUUUUUCCUUAGAUGAAGAGUCUUUCAAGUCUUUCGCCUACCAACUAUCAAAUUGGUAGAGUCCUAGAAACCGAUAAAGGCGCCCUGGGCUUCGAUCGACAGACUCGAUCGUUGAGUCACAGAGGUUGCGAAUUAUUCGACUGCUUCAAAAGGGGUUGCGAUUCAAACAGAAUCGAGAAACGCGACGAGUAUUAAAAUUCGUCGAACCAUCAAAUUCCUGCGAUCUAAAAGAAAGAGCCGGGUUGCAGAUCGUUCAACUAGUCCGAAAGGGGGCGAGAGGUUGCGACUCAAAGACGAUCGAGACACGUGACUUUUGAGUAUUAAGACUCUUGGAACGAUCGAAUCGCUGGAAUCGAAACGGACAAAAGGGCCGCGUAGCUUCGAUCGACGUCGUUGAAUGAUACUUUUACUCGCUUUCGCAGAGUGGCUGCGCGGCGACCCUGGGUUGUCGAGGCAUGAAUCGGCGCCGCGGCUACUCGAUGCUUCGGUUUACGUUCUCCAGCGAGUGGCACGCGAUCGUUGAAAAGUUUGGUGCGCUCGAUCGGUGGAAAGGUGCUGGAGUCUGAUUCAUUUUGAGAAAAAGGACAAGAACGAAGAGGAAGAGAGAAACUUUAACUUUGUCCGUGUCGUGAGAAACACGACGACGUCCAUUAAUGGCGGUAUUAUAAACCGCUUCUCGCGUGCAUCGGUAAAGAGGUUGAGAGCCAAGGAGGGGAACACGACACCACAAGAGAGGGGAGGCGGGUGCCCGAUCAGCGGAGAUGCAUGCGAAAAAAGGUGAAAUUACGUAAACAUCUUGCAAACGACGAUUACCACACGCCGGGACUAGCUCGGUGUUCACCUCUGUUCGAAGCGCCUGAAAGAAACCGCUACAGCCUUAGCUGCAUGUGUAUACGUCUGGUCAUUCCAUCAGGAACAUCGGAAUUUUUCAUAUUUUUCACAAUUUACUCGUAGUAGAAUUUUAAUCGUAAGAUCGAGAGACGCGAGCGCAUUCUAAUAGCAAAGGUUAUUUCAAUUAUCCGACGAUAAGACGAAGAGACAAGAAAGUUCGGAAGAUGAACAGUAGAAAAAGCAGGACAAUUUUAGAAAAAAAAGUUAUAAUCGACGAGGAGAAAAAGAAUCAUGAAUUAAUAUAGCUAAUAUAUGCCUAUGUAUGGUAUAAUAUACCUACUAAUU